rnacentral:rRNA from 1 species
UACGUAGGGGGCAAGCGUUGUCCGGAUUUAUUGGGCGUAAAGAGCGUGUAGGCGGCCAUGUAGGUCCGUUGUGAAAACUCGAGGCUCAACCUCGAGACGCCGAUGGAAACCAUGUGGCUAGAGUCCGGAAGAGGAGAGUGGAAUUCCUGGUGUAGCGGUGAAAUGCGCAGAUAUCAGGAAGAACACCCGUGGCUAAGGCGGCUCUCUAGUAGCGGUACUGACGCUGAGACGCGAAAGCGUGGGGAGCGAACAGG